rnacentral:tRNA from 1 species
UCCCAUACGGUUGUCCAACACAGGGGGUGUCAUAAUGUCACGCCCCUUUUAUACCGGAGUGAGUAAAAAAGAGAAUGGUAGAU